AACGAACGCUGGCGGCACGCCUAACACAUGCAAGUCGAGCGCUACCUUCGGGUGGAGCGGCGGACGGGUUAGUAACGCGUGGGAACAUACCCAACACUACGGAAUAGCCUUUGGAAACGAAGAGUAAUACCGUAUACGCCCUUCGGGGGAAAGAUUUAUCGGUGAUGGAUUGGCCCGCGUUAGAUUAGAUAGUUGGUGGGGUAACGGCCUACCAAGUCUACGAUCUAUAGCUGGUUUGAGAGGAUGAUCAGCAACACUGGGACUGAGACACGGCCCAGACUCCUACGGGAGGCAGCAGUGGGGAAUCUUAGACAAUGGGCGCAAGCCUGAUCUAGCGAUGCCGCGUGAGUGACGAAGGCCCUAGGGUCGUAAAGCUCUUUCGCCAGGGAUGAUAAUGACAGUACCUGGUAAAGAAACCCCGGCUAACUCCGUGCCAGCAGCCGCGGUAAUACGGAGGGGGUUAGCGUUGUUCGGAAUUACUGGGCGUAAAGCGCACGUAGGCGGAUUAGAAAGUAGGGGGUGAAAUCCCGGGGCUCAACCCCGGAACUGCCUUCUAAACUACUAGUCUAGAGUUCGAGAGAGGUGAGUGGAAUUCCAAGUGUAGAGGUGAAAUUCGUAGAUAUUUGGAGGAACACCAGUGGCGAAGGCGGCUCACUGGCUCGAUACUGACGCUGAGGUGCGAAAGUGUGGGGAGCAAACAGGAUUAGAUACCCUGGUAGUCCACACCGUAAACGAUGAAUGCCAGACGUCAGGGGGCUUGCCCUUUGGUGUCACACCUAACGGAUUAAGCAUUCCGCCUGGGGAGUACGGUCGCAAGAUU
rnacentral:rRNA from 1 species